GUCCUUUUGAAUUUUAUAGAAGGUCUGACCUGCCCAGUGAUAAUUUUAACGGCCGCGGUAUACUGACCGUGCAAAGGUAGCAUAAUCAUUAGUCUUUUAAUAGAGGGCUGGAAUGAAAGGUUUAACGAGGAAUUGACUGUCUCAUUUUAUUUGUUUUAGAAUUUAAUUUUUUAGUCAAAAAGCUAAAAUCUUAUUGGAAGACGAGAAGACCCUAUAGAUCUUUAUAAGAUCUUAUUUAAUUAUUUUUAUAUUAUUUUAUUUAAAUGAUUUUUUAUUUUGUUGGGGUGACAAAAAUAUAUGUAAAACUUUUUUAUUUAUUUAACAUUAAUUUAUGAUUAUUAGAUCCAUUAUUAGUGAUUGAUAGACUAAGUUACCUUAGGGAUAACAGCGUAAUCCUCCUCCAGAGUUCAUAUUUACAGGAUGGGCUUGCGACCUCGAUGUUGGAUUAAGAUGAUAGUUAGGUGUAGCCGCUUAAUUUAUAGGUCUGUUCGACCUUUAAACUCUU
rnacentral:rRNA from 1 species